UGAUGAUUGAUUGGUAUUGAUUCUUGUAUGUUUGGAUGUGUUGUCCCAUGUGUUGUUGUGAUUGAAGUUAGGAUGCUAGAGAGAAAUAUAUGCUAGGAUGAUAGAUGAGUAAUGUUUAUAAAAGUUAUUGAAGUAGAACUUGAAUGCGAUGUGUAUUGUGUGUGACACCGAUAACGGGUGGCGUCUAGUGAUUGAGUCCAAGUACAAGUCUAAGUGAAAAGGGAAAGUAAAUGAAAAGAAUGGGAAGGAAUAAGUGUAAAUGAUAAGGAUGUGAAAGGAUAAGUGAAAGUAUAGAAGAAUAACGUUAAGAUUAAGCAUGGGUGGGCUCAUAUAGAGGGUCUAAGGAAAGUAGGUGGGGUAGUAGUCCACACUAGGCUACCCAUAGGAGAUGUGGCCAAUCCACAUGAAUAUGGGGUAGUAGUCUAGUUGGGGCUACCCACUGAUGAAAAGGAUGAAAAGAUGAAAAGGAUGAAAAGAGGAAAAGGAUGAAAAGAGGAAAAGGAUGAAAAGAUGAAAAGGAUGUGCAUUGUAGGGUUUUUAGAUCAUGGUCGGGUAACAGGGAGUUAAAGGUGUCAUAGGAUUGAGUUGGAAUGGGAAGAUGAGUCGGAUAAGUCUAGAGUUUGACGUGUGUGGCAAUGAGUGAGAUCAUUGUAUUGAUGGGUCGCUAGGUUGUUAGAAAUGAAUGGAAGUGAAUGUGGAAAAUUAUAGAUGACGUUAGGAAAUGAUAAAAUGCAUUAACUGAUUGUAGUGGUUAGUCAGUCCUAGUUCCCGCAUAGAGUAGUAUAGAGUGU
rnacentral:lncRNA from 1 species